AGGGUUUGAUUAUGGCUCAGGAUGAACGCUAGCUACAGGCUUAACACAUGCAAGUCGUGGGGCAGCAUGGGAGAUGCUUGCAUUUCCCGAUGGCGACCGGCGCACGGGUGAGUAACGCGUAUCCAACCUGCCCUUCACUCCGGCACAGCCCGUCGAAAGACGGAUUAAUGCGGGAUGCAGUCAGAAAGAUGCAUAUUAAUUUGACGAAAGGCUUUAUGCCGGUGAGGGAUGGGGAUGCGUCCGAUUAGCUUGACGGCGGGGUAACGGCCCACCGUGGCAACGAUCGGUAGGGGUUCUGAGAGGAAGGUCCCCCACAUUGGAACUGAGACACGGUCCAA
rnacentral:rRNA from 1 species